GAGUUUGAUCGUGGCUCAGAGUGAACGCUGGCGGCAGGCCUAACACAUGCAAGUCGAGCGGCAGCACGGGUAGCAAUACCUGGUGGCGAGCGGCGGACGGGUGAGGAAUACAUCGGAAUCUGCCUUGUCGUGGGGGAUAACGUAGGGAAACUUACGCUAAUACCGCAUACGACCGAGAGGUGAAAGCGGGGGAUCGCAAGACCUCGCGCGACAAGAUGAGCCGAUGUCGGAUUAGCUAGUUGGCGGGGUAAGAGCCCACCAAGGCGACGAUCCGUAGCUGGUCUGAGAGGAUGAUCAGCCACACUGGAACUGAGACACGGUCCAGACUCCUACGGGAGGCAGCAGUGGGGAAUAUUGGACAAUGGGCGCAAGCCUGAUCCAGCCAUGCCGCGUGGGUGAAGAAGGCC
rnacentral:rRNA from 1 species